rnacentral:rRNA from 1 species
UGGGGAAUAUUGGACAAUGGGGGCAACCCUGAUCCAGCAAUUCCGCGUGUGUGAAGAAGGCCUUCGGGUUGUAAAGCACUUUGGACGGGGAAGAAGGUAAUCUGUUUAAGAGAUGGGUUAUUUGACGGUACCCGUAGAACAAGCACCGGCUAACUCUGUGCCAGCAGCCGCGGUAAUACAGAGGGUGCAAGCGUUAAUCGGAGUUACUGGGCGUAAAGGGCGCGUAGGCGGUCCUGCAAGUGAGAUGUGAAAUCCCCGGGCUUAACCUGGGAACUGCAUCUUAAACUGCGGGGCUGGAGUACUGUAGAGGAUAGUGGAAUUUCCGGUGUAGCGGUGAAAUGCGUAGAGAUCGGAAGGAACACCAGUGGCGAAGGCGACUGUCUGGACAGAUACUGACGCUGAGGCGCGAAAGCGUGGGGAGCAAACAG